rnacentral:rRNA from 1 species
CAAGUCGAGCGAACAGAUGAGGAGCUUGCUCCUCUGACGUUAGCGGCGGACGGGUGAGUAACACGUGGGCAACCUGCCCUUAAGACUGGGAUAACUCCGGGAAACCGGGGCUAAUACCGGAUAAUAUAGAAGAUCUCCUGAUCUUCUAUUGAAAGGCGGCUUCGGCUGUCACUUAAGGAUGGGCCCGCGGCGCAUUAGCUAGUUGGUGAGGUAACGGCUCACCAAGGCAACGAUGCGUAGCCGACCUGAGAGGGUGAUCGGCCACACUGGGACUGAGACACGGCCCAGACUCCUACGGGAGGCAGCAGUAGGGAAUCUUCCGCAAUGGACGAAAGUCUGACGGAGCAACGCCGCGUGAGUGAAGAAGGUUUUCGGAUCGUAAAGCUCUGUUGUUAGGGAAGAACAAGUACCAUAGUAACUGAUGGUACCUUGACGGUACCUAACCAGAAAGCCACGGCUAACUACGUGCCAGC